rnacentral:rRNA from 1 species
UACGGAGGAUGCGAGCGUUAUCCGGAUUUAUUGGGUUUAAAGGGUGCGUAGGCGGGCUUUUAAGUCAGCGGUAAAAAUUCGGGGCUCAACCCCGUCCGGCCGUUGAAACUGGGGGUCUUGAGUGGGCGAGAAGUAUGCGGAAUGCGUGGUGUAGCGGUGAAAUGCAUAGAUAUCACGCAGAACUCCGAUUGCGAAGGCAGCAUACCGGCGCCCAACUGACGCUGAAGCACGAAAGCGUGGGUAUCGAACAGG